ensembl:lncRNA
UCUGGAAAGAACAGAGGCAGGAGCGAAGUGAGGGCAAUCCUGAGCUCGCUUUCUCUGGGCAGUGCAUCCCGUGCAGCCUGCCCAGUAAAACGACUCUCUCCGAACAGCAGCCCCCCGGGGGACCGGGGCUCGAGGCCGCAGGGGCGGCUCGGGGCGGCUCGGGGGGCUGAGGACUCCCGGAAUUGCUCAAAAUGGCAGCACUAUAAGCAAACAAUAUCGCUCACUUACCCGGGAAGGCUGGGGCAGCUCGGGGUCGGCGAACGGGCGCUCGGACAACACAAAGGAACCAUGGAGAAACUUUUUCAGCCCGAGCCGACGGCGGGGCGCAGGGACAGCGCCUCGGGGCCCUCCAGGCGAGCGCGGCUCAGCAGCCCAGCGGGGGCGAGCGCCCGCCCCAGGUUCGCAGCCCCUCCCGCUGCCGUGGCGGGAGCCAUUUCCAAGAGUUUCCAAGAAGUGUCAGGUCCUCCGCAGCCCGCAUCCUGCCUCGGAGGCGUGCUCCCCGCCGCCGCUCCUCCUGCGCCUCUCGGCGAGCCCCGCCGCGGCGCUCCCGGGCCGGCCCCAGCGCCUCUUUUGUGUGGCUGCNNNNNNNNNNNNNNNNNNNNNNNNNNNNNNNNNNNNNNNNNNNNNNNNNNNNNNNNNNNNNNNNNNNNNNNNNNNNNNNNNNNNNNNNNNNNNNNNNNNNCCAUCCCCGCCCCCGGGGCGCCCCGGGACCGCCGCCCGCCUACGCUGGGAGCUUUGUUCUUUUCCCUCCAACUACCUGUCUGAGCAGCGGGCCGGAGGGGGCCCCAAGGACGGGCCGUCGCUCCCGAGGGUCUCCCCAGCGGCAUCCGAGGGACGCUCUGGGGUGAGAGAGGGGGUAGUGCCCGCGUCUCCCGCCCGCCUGCCCUCCUUUCCUCCCUCUCCCCUCUCCUCUUUUGUUGCCUCUACUCUCGGACCGGCACAGCCUUGGCUGUUUCUCUCUCUCCCGCUUGGGAGUUUGCAGUGUGGACGCACAGCGAGCACACAUCUCAAGAACUGGAGCUCAGGACAACAUUUGGAACCUGUUGGAGCAGAAGAGUAAUGGAGGCCUUGAGGAGAAAAGAAGAGGAAAAAGAUGAGUUUUGUUUAGUUGGAUUAAACUGUGACCUGAAACCUGUCAUUUGCUCUUUCUUAAACACAAUCCUUAUGUAAUUCUUUCAGUUUUGUAAUUUAUUCACAAUCCAUGUGCUUCCCCGGAUCAUUUCAUCAAGCUGGGCUGGCUACCCCGCCUGGGCUCCUGGGGCUGCUCAGCCACGGAUCCACACAGGCCUCUCUUGGUCUCCAGAAGCUUGCAGGGGGAGCGGGUUUGCUUGUGUCAACAGCUCAGCAGCUGGGACCUCUCCGCACACCCUGCCGUCACCGACUGCUCAGGCUGCAGAAGGAAAUAGAGGCAGUUUAGUGUACUGGAUUCUGGACCCAGUUUGUAUCCUCCUAACUAGUUACUUCAUUUCAGUAAGUAAAUGACCGAUCUUGGCUGCCUCAGUUUCCUCCUCCGUAACGGGGAUAAUGAUACUAACACCUAUCUCAUAGCAUUAUUGUGAGGAAUAAACACGUUUAGUUCCUGUAAACUAAUGCCUAGUACGUGGUAAACACUCAUUAAAUUUAGCUCUCAACCUUGUUAGUCCUAACGUCUUCUCCCAGCUUGUCUUCCUCACUCUCCCAUUCUGUUCCCAUUCUCCAGGAUCCACAGGGGACCGUAUCUGCACUUGAACUCUGAGGAAUGGAGUUACAGAAUCGGCUGCCGGGUGUGAGCGAUGACGCCCGUGUGGCGGAGCCCCAGUGCCGCUCAUGAAAGCCUGCGGUCUGGGAGAAAGGACACACUUCCUCUGCGGCUGCUUUUCCUCGCUUUGCGGUUCGCCAGGACCCUUUAAUUUCAUUUUGCUGGAUAACCCAGCUUUCAAACUCAUGUCCUCAUACUGUCAGAUUCAAAGUCUGUGAAAACACGACCAAGAGAACAUUCUUCGGCCUGAAGGUUUGAGGAUACCACAGGAUGGACCCCCAGCCCUUUUCUGGCAUCCCAACAGCAGAAGAAGGAACUUGUGAUCCCAAAGCUGAACACGGAGCAUAAAAUCCCUCCUCUUCCCUUGUUGCUUCUUCACCCUCUUCAAACACCUGCCAGUAAGAGGCAACAUGACAGACCAAAGCGCGACCAAAAAAAAAAAAAAAAGCAAUAAGCCAAGCAAUAGAUUUAGCAAAUAAAAAUAUUGCCUGGGGCAUAAACCUGGAAAGGAUUUGUCGUU